rnacentral:rRNA from 1 species
AUGCCGCGUGAGUNNAGAAGGUUUUCGGAUCGUAAAACUCUGUUGGUAGAGAAAAACGUUGGUGAGAGUGGAAAGCUCAUCAANNNNCGGNNACUACCCAGAAAGGGACGGCCAACUACGUGCCAGCACCCGCGGNNNUACGUAGGUCCCGAGCGUUGUCCGGAUUUAUUGGGCGUAAAGCGAGGGCAGGUGGUUUAUAAAGUCUGGUGUAAAAGGCAGCGGCUCAACCAUUGUAUGAAUUGGAAACUGGUAGACUUGAGUGCAGGAGAGGAGAGUGGAAUUCCAUGUGUAGCGGUGAAAUGCGUAGAUAUAUGGUGGAACACCGGUGGCGAAAGCGGCUCUCUGGCCUGUAANNNNCANNGAGGCUCGAAAGCGUGGGGAGCAAACAGGCUUAGAUACCCUGGUAGUCCACGCCGUAAACGNNNNGUGCUAGAUGUAGGGAGCUAUAAGUUCUCUGUAUCGCAGCUAACGCAAUANAGCACUCCGCCUGGGUAG